UUCAGUUCGCAUUGCGGAUUUGGGGCCCGCAUUCUCAGCGAAGCUCUGAGGGUUGCAGAUCUUCGCGACAAAGCACAAGUGCUUAAGGGGUAUAAAAUACUAGAAAAGAUUCCUGAAUCAAAAUUCCAUGCCUCUGAAGCUGCUUCCAACCAUAUUGCUUUGUCUGUGACAUCCAUAUGGAACUCUGCUGCUUUGAAUUUAAAAUCACUCUGUAAAGGAACGGCACUAGUCUUUUCGUCAAGGCCAAGAAUAUCCCCUCACUGCCCUGUGCCAUCACCAUCCUCCCAAUAUGCUUUUUUUGCCCCUUUGGCGGAAUGGGUGUGAUAGACAUUACACAUGCAAUGUAUGUAUACAUGUUUUUUUUGUAUAUGUCUCUGUCACUGUGUGUUUGUGUGUGAUCUUAAAAAUUACUAGUGCUAUAUAAAAAAUUAGAUAGAUGUAGUAUGAUUGUAGAGAAUGUCAGUGUGUUACCGCUCUAUUUAAUUUGAAAAGCUGAUUUAUUGUCUUA